rnacentral:rRNA from 1 species
AUGCAGUCGAGCGAACAGAGAAGGAGCUUGCUCCUUUGACGUUAGCGGCGGACGGGUGAGUAACACGUGGGCAACCUACCUUAUAGUUUGGGAUAACUCCGGGAAACCGGGGCUAAUACCGAAUAAUCUGUUUCACCUCAUGGUGAAAUAUUGAAAGACGGUUUCGGCUGUCGCUAUAGGAUGGGCCCGCGGCGCAUUAGCUAGUUGGUGAGGUAACGGCUCACCAAGGCGACGAUGCGUAGCCGACCUGAGAGGGUGAUCGGCCACACUGGGACUGAGACACGGCCCAGACUCCUACGGGAGGCAGCAGUAGGGAAUCUUCCACAAUGGGCGAAAGCCUGAUGGAGCAACGCCGCGUGAGUGAAGAAGGAUUUCGGUUCGUAAAACUCUGUUGUAAGGGAAGAACAAGUACAGUAGUAACUGGCUGUACCUUGACGGUACCUUAUUAGAAAGCCACGGCUAACUACGUGCCAGCAGCCGCGGUAAUACGUAGGUGGCAAGCGUUGUCCGGAAUUAUUGGGCGUAAAGCGCGCGCAGGUGGUUUCUUAAGUCUGAUGUGAAAGCCCACGGCUCAACCGUGGAGGGUCAUUGGAAACUGGGAGACUUGAGUGCAGAAGAGGAUAGUGGAAUUCCAAGUGUAGCGGUGAAAUGCGUAGAGAUUUGGAGGAACACCAGUGGCGAAGGCGACUAUCUGGUCUGUAACUGACACUGAGGCGCGAAAGCGUGGGGAGCAAACAGGA